rnacentral:rRNA from 1 species
UACAGAGGUCCCAAGCGUUGUUCGGAUUCACUGGGCGUAAAGGGUGCGCAGGUGGUUUGGCAAGUUUGACGUGAAAGCCCCGGGCUUAACCCGGGAAUGGCGUUGAAAACUGCUUGAACUGGAGGAUUGGAGGGGGGACUGGAAUUCUUGGUGUAGCAGUGAAAUGCGUAGAUAUCAAGAGGAACACCAGUGGCGAAGGCGGUUACCUGGACAGUUACUGACGCUCAGGCACGAAAGCAUGGGGAGCGAACAGG